rnacentral:tRNA from 1 species
UCCCUGGUGGUCUAGUGGUUAGGACUCAGUGCUUUAAGCACUGUGGCCCGGGUUUAAUCCCUGGUCUGGGAA